rnacentral:lncRNA from 1 species
AGCGAGGCAACAUGGUACCCGUAGUGUCGCUAAAAGACAUCCAAAUUGACAAACGGACCUUGUAUAUCUCCACCACCGCAAGCUUUUGCAGAGCCCUAAAACACUCCUGCGUGAAAGGCAGCGGAGAGCUUAUAAGGUGUUGUCACACAACCUUGAACGAGCUUGGACAAAGGGAGACUUUCUUGAGCGGACCCGAGUUGCAUCAGGACAUAAUCAGCCCCGUGCUUACUGCGUUCGUGAAACGCGUAAGUCCCGCUGCCAACAACUGGUGUAACUACACCCCAGCACACGUAGCCUGCUUACUGGAAGAUCCCAUAAAGUGUGAAAUAGUGGAUCUCGGUAUCAAGCUAAUGGACGACAGGAUACCAAACGCGUUCGCCGUUGCGGAACUGUUACUUUGUCCUAUGAAUAAAGUGAAGCAAUACAUGCUGGCUCACAAACGUUACACUACCGACAAAACAUUCCGUCUUCAGGUUCACAAAAAUAACAUCAGCUCGUUGGAGGACCAGAUAAAGAGCGCCUGGGAGUCCCUAGUAGUCUCCGUGGACAAGUUCAUAGAACUGAGAUACGGAGACAAAACAUACAAGAAGAGCUCUGAAGACACGGCGGCGAUAUUGAACCUGAGGGAGUUGUUCAAGUCUCAUUCUGCCUUCCGUAACAUAAAUGCGAUCUUAAAACAAUGGCAACAACUGAUCAAACAAGAGUCUCAAGGCGUUAAAGGAGCAGACUCUAAAAGUGAAAAGGACAAGUGGCUAGCUAAAGAGUACAGUGAAACAAAAGUGCUUUUCCAUAACCUCCGCGUCUACCAAAACAAAAUAGGCAAACUCAACAAGAAAGUAAAAGCUUGCGAAGAGAAGAAGGGUGAAGGCGAGAAUUAUCAACAAUCGAUGCCAUCGACCGCCGAUGUGUCAACCUCCUCCUCGCCUGGAUCAGAUGAAGCCUCUGGAGCUGAGUCUGCAACACCGAGAUCUUCACCUGAAACCACUCUAACCUCGGGCGCUUCGGUGAUUGUACCGGACAACCCGCCUUUGAUAUCCUGGGUGAGAAACAUCGGUACCCUUUUGAUGAGCACAGCAUGGUUGUAUGCCGCUAACGUAAGGAGAGAGGCUGUAUGUAACUUGCUUGGUCUGGAAAAAACUUUGCUACACACAAAACACGUUGAUGUCCUCAACCAGUGGGUUGCCCACAACCCUACCACGGUGGAGCAGCUGAAGCAUCUAGGUUUACAAGAUAAACUAAGCCUGGCGUUAAUCAACCGUUUGGAUGUUAUAUCUACAGAAAACUGGAUACGUAAAAUCGAAUAUUCUUUCAGAUGGAAACUGGCAAAGAAGUCUGCUAAGCUCGCAACCAGGAAAGUUCGUAAGAGUUAUUACAAGAGUGAGCUUGACAAAUC